CUGACAUGACAGUUGUAAAUCUAAAUAAAGUUGCGAGCGCUGAUCUUUCGCUGAGGUUUAAUGUCAGCAUUUGUAACGUGUUACUGCCAUCGCGACUGGGACCUCUGAAGACGUCUUCUCUCCACACCCUCGGUGUUUAUGUUGUGUGUAGCCUACUUCGUAGGAUGAAUCUCUUAUAGGUCAAAAGUCAACCACAAAUCCAGCAUAUAGUUACAGUAGCUACUCGAUCCUGUUUGCUAUCGAGUGGAAACGCUUGCAUCUCACAAGGCCUUUGACCAUUUCUCUACGACCGUUCUGCUGGUGUUCAGUACUAUGGGAAGAGGAACAUUCAGGUGCAUGUAGUACUAGUAAAUAGUCUAAACAGUACCUCCCUUCGGAAAUAAGAAAUAUAAAAAUGUACAAAUUGACAUAUUGGGCAAAUGCGAGACAGACAAAGGCAAGGAAUAUUUUAGCUUCUGAUGAAUAUAGAGACCUAAAUAGACACAUUUAGUUUCUAUAAAUGAAAUAGAAUGAUUUAUAAAGGCUGGAUUAUUUACACUGUUAAAGUAUAACGGACUAUUAUUAUUGUCUAACUGUAAACAGAUACAGUUCUAUUUAGUUAGUUUGAAUUGGCUUGCAAUAACUAAAUAACUUUCUGUUUAGAUAGAUUCCCAUCUUUCUCAUUGCUCUAACUGAAGAUUGUUGGACACAACUGAAAAGAAAUAUUGAAAAGGUGCAUAAAUAUACAUACUUUAAAUCAUUUUCUCUAAACACUUCUUUAAACUCAAUUCCAUCUCCACACUCAUUCUUUAGCAACUUCACCAUAACAGUCAUGUGCCACCCUUCAAACGUAUCAUGCUUGAUAAUGUCAAUACUUCAUUG